CUAGGUGAAGGGCCAGACUAUGUGCGACAGUGGUUGUACAUUCUGGACAGUCACAUGAUGAGAAGAGCAGAACUGCAAACUAAUCACCACCUGGAGGUGAGUUGGAUUAGGUGGUGGGCAGAGAGUGCUGGACAGGCCUGGCAUACUCAAACAUACAGUGUUUGCAGCAUAGCUUCAACAGCAUUCCACAAAAAGGAGCUUUGGCCUAUUUUUGUGAACUAUCUAAUCCAUGUACAGAUCCUGCCAGAGCUUGGUCUGCAGUGCAGCAAGUCAGAUUUGUUCUUGGUUGGUGUUGGACUCUGUCAGGAUUGUCUGUCAUGGUCAAGAGCUGGAGGAAGUGGCUGAGGAUCGGCAGGUCUGGGUGUCUUUACUUAGACUGCUGCCCCCAUGACCCACACCUGGAUAAGUAGAAGAUGGAUAGUUGGAUGGAUGGAUACAGGGUGGAGCGGGCAGCAGUCAUUCUGGGGGAAACAUUGCUCAUCUAACUUGAAAAUCAGCAAUGCAUUUUAUGCUUUCUAGCUGACAAAAAAAAAAACCAGACACAGAAUGAGUUGGAGACAUAGAAAGCAUAAAAAGAUUGACAUAACCACCAUGAAUCCGCCCACUGGUUUUGGACUCCGCAUUUAAUGCUUCAAACUUAGCAUUUUUGCAGACAUCAUUUUGCUUUUUGGGACCAGUAAUUACCUUUAUGCAUGAAAGGGUGGAAUACUCAUUUCCCAGCUAACACUUUUAGCUUUGUUAGGAUGCUGAAUUCCCAAUUUAUGUGAGUGCAUCAUACAGACACACAUUACUAGUAAGUAAUAAGUAAAGGACUUUUAAAAUACCAAAACUGAAGCACAAAGUUUUUUGAUGGUCUGUGUCACACAACAAGCCAUAUAUUAGUAAGCUAAUCCAUUAAAAUUCUCCCAAAGGCACCAAAAGUCUAGACACAGGUCCAGUUUAAUGACUCAAAAUAGUGGAUGAGGCCUAACAGAGUAACUUCAGCUGUCUGUCAGGAUUCAUGUCAGUCAGUGCG
ensembl:lncRNA